GCCGGGCACGAUGGCUCAUGCCUGUAAUCCCAGCACUUUGGGAGGCUGAGGCGGGUGAAUCACCUGAGGUCAGGAGUUUGAGACCAGCCUGGCCAACAUGGUGAAACCCUGUCUCUA
rnacentral:SRP_RNA from 1 species